GUGGGGAAUCUUGCGCAAUGGGCGAAAGCCUGACGCAGCGACGCCGCGUGAGUGAUGAAGGCCCUCGGGUUGUAAAACUCUGUGGGGAGGGAAGAAUAAGUGCAGGCUAAUCACUGCAUGAUGACGGUACCUCCUUAGCAAGCACCGGCUAACUCUGUGCCAGCAGCCGCGGUAAGACAGAGGGUGCAAACGUUGUUCGGAAUUACUGGGCGUAAAGCGUGCGUAGGCGGUGAAGUAAGUCGGAUGUGAAAGCCCAGGGCUCAACCUUGGAAGUGCAUUCGAAACUGCUUCGCUUGAGUACUGGAGAGGCUGGUGGAAUUCUCGGUGUAGAGGUGAAAUUCGUAGAUAUCGAGAGGAACAUCUGUGGCGAAGGCGGCCAGCUGGACAGAUACUGACGCUGAGGCACGAAAGUGUGGGGAGCAAACAGGAUUAGAUACCCCUGUAGUCC
rnacentral:rRNA from 1 species